rfam:Ottowia sp. oral taxon 894 strain W10237, complete genome.
CUUGAUGACCAUAGCAAGGCGGAUCCACUCCUUCCCAUCCCGAACAGGACAGUGAAACACCUUAGCGCCGAUGAUAGUGCGGACUCCCGUGCGAAAGUAGGACAUCGUCAGGC